AAUCUAUUGUAAACUUCAGUUGAAAGCAUCAUGUUCAUAUGAUCUCCCAUUUUCUUUCUUGUUGUUGUUAUUACAGAGGUUGCGCUGUGAGUGACAUUAGCAAAACCUCUACUCUCUUCCGAUCUCACUUGCCACUUAGUAGGCAAUUCGAAUUGUAAUACUCAAAUCUCUGAUUUAUUCACAUUAGUCAGCGAAAAUGCCUCUAAGAUUGGAGAUUAAGAGGAAACUAGCUCAAAGAUCAGAAAGGGUAAAGGCUGUGGAUCUACAUCCUACAGAGCCAUGGAUAUUGGCAAGUUUAUACUCAGGGACCAUUUGCAUCUGGAACUACCAGACCCAGACAAUGGCACAAUCUUUUGAAGUUACUGAAUUACCAGUAAGAUCAGCGAAAUUUAUAGCACGCAAGCAGUGGAUUGUUGCUGGUGCCGAUGACAUGUUUAUUCGUGUAUUGAAUUAUAAUACCAUGGAUAAGGUCAAAGUAUUUGAGGCACACACAGAUUAUAUUAGGUGUGUGGCUGUUCAUCCUACUUUACCAUAUGUGCUGUCAUCAUCUGAUGACAUGCUUAUAAAGCUCUGGGACUGGGAGAAGGGAUGGGUAUGCACUCAAAUUUUUGAGGGUCAUUCCCAUUAUGUGAUGCAAGUCACAUUUAAUCCAAAAGACACCAAUACUUUUGCUAGUGCAUCUCUUGAUCGGACUAUAAAGAUUUGGAACCUUGGCUCUCCUGACCCUAACUUUACGCUGGAUGCCCAUCUGAAAGGGGUUAAUUGUGUUGACUAUUUCACUGGUGGUGAUAAACCUUAUCUCAUUACUGGUUCUGAUGAUCACACUGCUAAGGUCUGGGACUAUCAGACAAAAAGUUGUGUCCAAACUCUUGAAGGUCACACGCACAAUGUAUCUGCUGUAUGUUUUCAUCCAGAUCUUCCUAUUAUAAUGACGGGGUCUGAAGAUGGUACUGUUCGUAUUUGGCAUUCGACUACUUACAGACUCGAGAACACGUUGAAUUAUGGUCUUGAAAGAGUUUGGGCUAUUGGUUACAUGAAAGGUUCAAGAAGGGUUGUAAUUGGUUAUGAUGAGGGAACCAUUAUGGUAAAACUUGGUCGAGAGGUACCUGUUGCUAGCAUGGAUAAUAGUGGAAAAGUCAUAUGGGCCAAGCACAAUGAGAUUCAAACUAUUAACAUCAAGAGUGUGGGGACGGAUUACGAGAUUACUGAUGGAGAAAGAUUGCCUUUGGCGGUCAAGGAAUUGGGAACUUGUGACCUAUACCCACAAAGCUUAAAGCAUAAUCCAAAUGGAAGGUUUGUCGUUGUUUGUGGAGAUGGAGAGUAUAUCAUAUAUACUGCUCUGGCGUGGAGAAAUAGGUCAUUUGGCUCAGCUCUGGAAGUUGUUUGGUCGUCUGAUGGAGAAUACGCUGUGAGAGAAAGUACUUCAAGGAUUAAGAUUUUCAGCAAAAAUUUCCAGGAGAAGAAGAGCAUCCGGCCUACUUUCUCUGCUGAGCACAUCUAUGGGGGUACCUUAUUGGCAAUGUGCUCAAAUGAUUUCAUUUGCUUCUACGAUUGGAUUGAAUGCAGGUUGAUACGACGAAUUGAUGUUAAUGUCAAAAACCUCUACUGGGCUGACAGUGGUGAUCUGGUGGCUGUUGCUAGUGAUUUUUCAUUCUACAUACUUAAGUAUAAUCGUGAUGUUGUUUCUGCACAUUUAGAUAGUGGAAGAUCUGUAGAUGACCAAGGUGUUGAAGAUGCCUUUGAACUUCUUUAUGAGAUAAAUGAACGGGUCAGAACUGGAAUUUGGGUUGGAGAUUGUUUCAUUUACAAUAAUUCUUCUUCGAGACUGAACUACUGUGUAGGCGGCGAGGUGACCACGAUGUUUCACUUAGACCGACCCAUGUACCUGCUGGGAUAUCUCGCUAAUCAAAGUAGGGUUUUCCUGAUUGACAAAGAGUUCAAUGUCGUGGGAUAUACUCUACUCCUUGGCUUGAUUGAGUACAAGACACUUGUGAUGCGUGGUGACUGGGACAGAGCUAAUGAGGUCUUGCCAUCAAUUCCUAAGGAUCACCAUAACAGUGUUGCUCGUUUCUUGGAAUCACGAGGAAUGAUUGAGGAAGCAUUGGAAGUUGCUACUGACGCUGACUACAGAUUUGAACUUGCCAUACAGUUGGGUAAAUUAGAGAUUGCAAAGGAAAUUGCUGUAGUAGCACAGAAUGAAUCCAAAUGGAAGCAGUUGGGUGAACUAGCAAUGUCUGCUGGAAUGCUGGAGAUGGCAGAGGAUUGUUUGAAGCAUGCUAAUGACUUGAGUGGUUUACUGCUGCUUUAUUCUUCAUUAGGAGAUGCUGAAGGAAUUGCUGAACUAGCAUCAUUUGCCAAAGAGCAGGGAAGAAACAAUGUUGCAUUCCUUUGCCUGUUCCUCUUGGGUAAAGUGGAGGAGUGUGUUCAGCUGUUGGUUGACAGCAAUCGGAUACCUGAGGCUGCAUUUAUGGCAAGAUCUUAUCUUCCAAGUAAGGUUUCUGAAAUAGUUGCAAUUUGGAGGAAGGACCUCAAUAAGGUUAACCAGAAAGCAGCAGAAGCUUUGGCUGAUCCUGAAGAAUAUCCUAACCUUUUUGAGCACUGGCAAAUUGCACAUGCUGUUGAAGCCAGAGUCGCAGAGCAAAGGGGUGUAUACCCACCAGCAGCAGAUUAUGGAAAUUAUGCUGAUAGACCAACUUCCAACCUUGUAGAAGCUUUCAGCAACAUGAGAGUCGAUGAAGAAGAACCCCUUGAAAAUGGAGAAUUAGACCACGAGGUUGUGGAACAGAAUGGUGAUGAGGUGCAAGAACAGGGACAAGAUGGCACUCAACAAGAGAGCCAAGAAGAGGCUGUUGUGGUAGAUGCUGACUCUAAUGAUGGUGCAGUACUCGUCAAUGGAAACGAGGCUGAAGAAGAGUGGGGUACGAAUACUGAAGGAAAACCGUCAGCCUAAAAGCAAUUGGUUGGGCCGGUGUGAAAAUCCUAAUUUUGUAGCUGUACUUACACCACGUCACUAGGUUCAGUGAAGACAGUUGGUUCCAGCUGUAUGUAAUCCGUUGUUAUGGUUCUCAAGUUGUUGCGCGAAUGCGACGAUGAAGGGACUGGUUGUCUGUUUUGAGUGGUGAACGAGUUAUGGUGGCAUACUGUAGAAAACAUUUGUGCCAGCUCGGUUAUUAGCAUUAGUCUCGCCUAGUUUUAUACUCCUAUAUUAUUCUUUGUGAGGGAUAAAGUCUUUAACCCGUCAAAAAUCUUUCAAUCCACUGGGAAUGUAGAAAACACACGCACGAUAUCUGGAAGCGGAGAUGCUGCGGAAGUGCUUUUGAGUUCAUAUUUUGAAUCAUAUUUCUCUAUGAUUGUCCAAGUUGUUUUGUUCCCUUCGUCAAAGAGCUGCCUUUUCAUUUACUUCUGCCAACUGUAUUCUGUCAUUGGUAGCAACAUUGUCUAUGUAACAGAAUUGAGAUGUUAAUAUUUUCUUUACCCAUUA